CCGCCAUGAUUAAACCUCUUGUAGAAGUGAAUCAAGCAAUAUUAGCUUGGUCG
rnacentral:lncRNA from 1 species